rnacentral:rRNA from 1 species
AGUGAACGCUGGCGGUAGGCCUAACACAUGCAAGUCGAACGGCAGCACAGUAAGAGCUUGCUCUUACGGGUGGCGAGUGGCGGACGGGUGAGGAAUACAUCGGAAUCUACUUUUUCGUGGGGGAUAACGUAGGGAAACUUACGCUAAUACCGCAUACGACCUACGGGUGAAAGCAGGGGAUCUUCGGACCUUGCGCGAUUGAAUGAGCCGAUGUCGGAUUAGCUAGUUGGCGGGGUAAAGGCCCACCAAGGCGACGAUCCGUAGCUGGUCUGAGAGGAUGAUCAGCCACACUGGAACUGAGACACGGACCAGACUCCUGCGGGAGGCAGCAGUGGGGAAUAUUGGACAAUGGGCGCAAGCCUGAUCCAGCCAGACCGCGUGGGUGAAGAAGGCCUUCGGGUUGUAAAGCCCUUUUGUUGGGAAAGAAAAGCAGCAGGUUAAUACCCCGCUGUUCUGACGGUACCCAAAGAAUAAGCACCGGCUAACUUCGUG